rnacentral:rRNA from 1 species
GAUGAACGCUAGCGGCAGGCCUAACACAUGCAAGUCGAGGGGUAGGGCAGCAAUGCCUGAGACCGGCGCACAGGUGCGUAACGCGUAUGCAAUCUACCUUCAACAGGGGGAUAGCCCAGAGAAAUUUGGAUUAAUACCCCAUAGUAUUAUCGAAUGGCAUCAUUUGAUUAUUAAAGUUCCAACGGUUGAAGAUGAGCAUGCGUCCUAUUAGCUUGAUGGUAAGGUAACGGCUUACCAUGGCUACGAUAGGUAGGGGUCCUGAGAGGGAGAUCCCCCACACUGGUACUGAGACACGGACCAGACUCCUACGGGAGGCAGCAGUGAGGAAUAUUGGACAAUGGGCGAAAGCCUGAUCCAGCCAUGCCGCGUGCAGGAAGACGGUCCUAUGGAUUGUAAACUGCUUUUGUACGGGAAGAAACACUCCUACGUGUAGGAGCUUGACGGUACCGUAAGAAUAAGGAUCGGCUAACUCCGUGCCAGCAGCCGCCGUAAAAC